rnacentral:rRNA from 6 species
UGGUGGGUAGUUUGACUGGGGCGGUCUCCUCCUAAAGAGUAACGGAGGAGCACGAAGGUUGGCUAAUCCUGGUCGGACAUCAGGAGGUUAGUGCAAUGGCAUAAGCCAGCUUGACUGCGAGCGUGACGGCGCGAGCAGGUGCGAAAGCAGGUCAUAGUGAUCCGGUGGUUCUGAAUGGAAGGGCCAUCGCUCAACGGAUAAAAGGUACUCCGGGGAUAACAGGCUGAUACCGCCCAAGAGUUCAUAUCGACGGCGGUGUUUGGCACCUCGAUGUCGGCUCAUCACAUCCUGGGGCUGAAGUAGGUCCCAAGGGUAUGGCUGUUCGCCAUUUAAAGUGGUACGCGAGCUGGGUUUAGAACGUCGUGAGACAGUUCGGUCCCUAUCUGCCGUGGGCGCUGGAGAACUGAGGGGGGCUGCUCCUAGUACGAGAGGACCGGAGUGGACGCAUCACUGGUGUUCGGGUUGUCAUGCCAAUGGCACUGCCCGGUAGCUAAAUGCGGAAGAGAUAAGUG